AUAGACUUCAAGGGCACCAUGCUAAGUGAAGUCAGAGAAAGACAAAUACUGUAAGAGAGUACUUAUAUGUGGAAUCUAAAAAGGCUGACAUCACAGAAACAGAGUUUAGAAUAGUGGUCACCAGGAGCUUGGGGGUAGAGGAAGGAGGGAGAUGAUCAGCAAAGGGUAAAAACUUCCAUUAUAGUUAACAGUACUGUAUUGUACACAGGACUCUAGACCCACAUGAUGUACCCUGAAGAAAGUCUUUCACAGAGCAAACAAAGCAGGAAAAUCUCAAGUACUACAUUAUCUUCCUGGAUAUUUGCCAUGGAAGGAACAUAUUAAAGGUUCGGAGAAGUUCUGCAGUCAAGAAAGAUUUUCCCCCUAGCCUUCUCCCAAAUGGUUUGGGCUUGGAAUUGCUUUUCCUUUGUUCUCUCUAUAAAACCUUAGUUAUCAUCAUCAUCUAUCUAGACAGACUCCCAUAAAAUACACUUCAGGAAACAUGGGCACACCUGUAAGCUAAUUAUACUAUAAGACUCUUAACACACAGUAGGUAUAACACAGAGUAGGCAAAAAGAAGAAAACAAAAGAUUCUGUUCCUCAGAAUUAGUUCUUCAUGAGCAGAAAAACAAGAAAGAACUAGCAUGUAUUGUCAUCUGCUGUAGGGUGACAUUCCACGUGAAGUUUUUCAAACUCAGUGAAUCAUCACAAUCCUAUGGUGGUUAUCAACAUUCUGUUUCAUGCAGAAGAGGACACUGAAGAGCAGGAAUGUCUUAGGUCCCUCCCAGGGUCACAAGAACAAGAAAUGGCAGGGCAGGGACAUUAAAGCCCUGUGCUGUAUACCCUCAGCAACAAAGAAGUCAUCUUUUCACACUACGCAGAUCUCUGUGAAACUAACCCAUUUUGAAAUAUUUGUCCUAUGUGACAUCACAAUAUUGUUAAUGGUUCCCCUCUCUUUCCAACUGUCUGCUUAGUAUAAUGAAAUGAAACCAUUAAAAUGGAAAUUCAACUUG